rnacentral:rRNA from 1 species
CGGGCAUCUAGCAUUCUAGCCACAAUGGUUGGCCAUACAAUUGAGAUUCAUAAUGAAAAAGAGCAUAUACAUAUUUACAUACCAAAUCCUAUGGUAGGUCGCAAAUUGAGGGUAUUCGUGCAUACUCAGCAUUUCACGAGUUAUGAAAAGCAAGAAAGGAUAGUAAAUCUCCUCGUUGACUGA